GACAUAGGUGGCGAACGUUAUCCGGAAUUAUUGGGCGUAAAGGAUGCGUAGAUGGUAGAAUAAGUUAUUGGUCGAUGCCAAACUCAAUUUGGCGGAAGCUGGUAAUACUGUUCAACUAGAGGGCAGGAGAGGUUGAUGGAAUUCUGUGUGGAGCGGUGAAAUGCGUUGAUCUGCAGAGGAACACCAAAAAGGCGAAGGCAGUCAACUAUUCUGUUCCUGACAUUGAGGCAUGGAAAGCGUGGGGAGCAAACCGG
rnacentral:rRNA from 1 species